rnacentral:rRNA from 1 species
AUAACAAUACAGGAUUCUAUCAAGGCCCUGCAAUUGGAAAGAGUACACUUGAAAUCCUUUAACGAGGAUCUAUUGGAGGGCAAGCCUGGUGCAGAGUGACUGACCCGUGUGUGCUACAGCUGAAA